rnacentral:pre_miRNA from 1 species
GUGACGCUUGUCGUCUAAUCUCUGCAGGCAACUGUGAUGUCAUAGUCACAUAUGUGUGCAGAGGUUGGAUGAAAUGUAGUC